rnacentral:tRNA from 1 species
GGCAACGUGCCAGAGUGGUUAAUGGGUGAGACUCGAAAUCUCAUGGCUUCGGUCGCACAGGGUAAGCUAUUCGUGUCAAUGUCUGUUGUUUAUUCUUUAUACUUACGAAUUGCAUAGUUCGAAUCCUGUCGUUGUCG